rnacentral:rRNA from 2 species
CGCGGUAAUUCCAGCUCCAAUAGCGUAUAUUUAAGUUGUUGCAGUUAAAAAGCUCGUAGUUGGAUUUCGGAUGGGUGCAACCGGUCCGCCGUUGCGGUGUGCACUGGUCGCGCCCAUCUUGCUGACGGGGACGCGCUCCUGGCCUUAACUGGCUGGGACGCGGAGUCGUCGAUGUUACUUUGAAAAAAUUAGAGUGUUCAAAGCAGGCCUAAGCUCUGAAUACAUUAGCAUGGAAUAACGCUAUAGGACUCUGGUCUUAUUGUGUUGGUCUUCGAGACCGGAGUAAUGAUUAAGAGGGACAGUUGGGGGCAUUCGUAUUUCAUUGUCAGAGGUGAAAUUCUUGGAUUUAUGAAAGACGAACUUCUGCGAAAGCAUUUGCCAAGGAUGUUUUCAUUAAUCAAGAACGAAAGUUGGGGGCUCGAAGACGAUCAGAUACCGUCCUAGUCUCAACCAUAAACGAUGCCGACUAGGGAUUGGCGGAUGUUAAUUCGAUGACUUCGCCAGCACCUUAUGAGAAAUCAAAGUUUUUGGGUUCCGGGGGGAGUAUGGUCGCAAGGCUGAAACUUAAAGGAAUUGACGG